UACGUAGGGGGCGAGCGUUGUCCGGAGUUACUGGGCGUAAAGGGCAUGCAGGCGGUCGGACGCGUUUCGGGUGACAGCGGGUGGCUUAACUACCCGAGUGGGCGAAAGACGGUUUGACUUGAGGACGCGAGAGGGACACGGAAUUCCGGGUGGAGUGGUGAAAUGCGUAGAGAUCCGGAGGAACACCGAAGGCGAAGGCAGUGUCCUGGCGCGUAACUGACGCUGAGGUGCGAAAGCCAGGGGAGCGAACGGG
rnacentral:rRNA from 1 species